rnacentral:misc_RNA from 1 species
AAGUCGUAACAAGGUUUCCGUAGGUGAACCUGCGGAAGGAUCAUUACCGAGUUAGGGUCUUUCUGGCCCGACCUCCAACCCUUUGUUUACUUAUACCAUGUUGCUUUGGCGGGCCUGCCUUUCGGGGCUGCCGGGGGCAUCACCGCCCCUGACCCGUGCCUGCCAGGAGCCUUUUUAAAUUCAGUGUUCAACUGUGCUGUCUGAGUCCGAAUAUCAAAAUAUAAAAAAACUUUCAACAACGGAUCUCUUGGUUCUG